GGGCCGGCCCAACGCUUUAAAGGGACAGCACGGGGCGCGCGCUUCCCGCUUAAAAGCUUUAAUCCCCGAAUUUGACUGGUGCAGGCCCUUCUAAUGCACUUCCUAAAAACUGAAGUAUAAUAAUACAUACAGGAAAGUGCUAGUGUGCCCUCGCGUUUCCACAGACAGCACGCCCUGUACACAGACACCAGCGGCCCUCCGGGACCUGCGCAGGUGGCGUCGCCCGGCGUUGUCUCCGGAGUCGAUUCGGGCCGGGGCACCUCCCCGGGCGACCAGGCCCCUUCUUGAUCAUCGCUGGUACGGAUGAGAGCGGCAGUGGGCAUUUGGAAAGCACCUGGGGCCGCGCCCGGGCGCAGUGCCCCCAUGUGGCCUCCCACCCCGGGCGGGCAGGACGAUUCCUGCCCAUCUGGAAGACCAGGAACCUGCGCGUUCACAGGGUUCGGAAGCCCGGGCUGCGCCUUCCCGCGGGGCCGGCUGCCGGGCUGGGGGCUCUUCCCGCCUCUGCAUGCACAGAGCCCGCGGUGCACGAACCUGCUCCCCGCCAGCCCCGCGGACUGGCAGGGCCGCUCUGGAGUCACCCGCGCCCGCUCCGCAGUGCGCAAACUCACUUCGCAGCGGGCUCUCCCGGGGCCAGCCCUUCCCUCCUGGGCGGGCAUUUUCACCUCCAGGUACAAGGGGGUGGUCCCCAGAGGAGGACUCAGGGGCUUAAGGAGAAGCUGAGGCCCGGUCCUCUGGCCUCAACGACUGCACAUUCUCGCCGCCUGCUUCACUUCUUAGAGCCUUGGAGCUUCCACUUCCAGGUGAAUUGGUCUCACCACCUCACCCCACCCCCAGGAGAUAGAACCUUCUAGUAAAAAUGAGAAAAUCCGGCCGGGCGCGGCGGCUCACGCCUGUAAUCCCAGCACUUUGGGAGGCUGAGGCGAGUGGAUCACCUGAGGUCGGGAUCACCUGAGGCUGAGGCUGAGGCAAGGAGAAUCGCUGGAACCCAGGAAAGAGGUUGCAGUGAGCCGAGAUCGCACCAUUGCACUCCAGCCUGGGCAACAAGAGCAAAACUCCGUCUCAAAAAAAUAAAAAAGAUGUUCAGAGAAACAGUUCCAUUUACUAAGUCACUGCUGGUGGCCAAAGCCUAGUUAAUGUUCUGAAAAUCUCCAUCGUGUUUGUUCCUCUUCUGUGAUUCUUAUUUUCUCUUCUAUUUUCACCUGCCAUAUUUUUUCCUGAGGCUGACAACUGUUUGGUAGGAUAUAAGAGGAUUUAAAACUUAGUAAAGCAAAUUACUUGCCUUUGUUAAAUUCUCUUCCUUGCUGGCGUUAUAUGGUUUCAGAAUUUUAGCUAUGACUGCAGGCAGGGGUGGAUUGCAAAAAUUGCUGAAUGGGG
rnacentral:lncRNA from 1 species